AGAUGGAGGCCUGUGGGUCCCCUCACGGGCAGCGCGCGGGUGGGCUCGAUGGCUGAGAAGGACGUUCCCCAUGCUGUGUGUGCCGGGGCCAGCCUGACUGAGUGGCUGAGUGACUGAGCAAAGCAGUAGAGGAAAAGAAUGGAAACCCCUUGGACUUCUCAUCUUGGAGGGAGGAGGACAUCUCUGAGGAAAUCAGGAAAGCACUGGUUGUAAGCAGGGAUAACUGCAAGAAGUGCUAGAGGACAGAAGGAGAAGAACAUCUGGCAUCUUGUCUGGAUGGUCACAGCAGUUCCUGGCCAUGCCCUCUUUGGAAGGGAGAACAGGUCAGCAAAAUGCUGCAAGCAGGAAAGCCCUUUCAGAUCCCUCUCUCCCAGAAGACAGCACCAGGUGUUUCUGCUGCUAAGUGUUGAAAGAGAAACACAGAGCCCUGAACUU